GGUUGUGAAGACAAUCUGGCUGCAACAUCUGUCACCCAUUGAUCACCAGGGUUAUUUCAGCUGAUCUGGCUGGCUAGGCGGGUGUCCCUUUCCUCCCUCACCACUCCUUGUUCAUGCUCAGUCGAAGAGGGUGACCUUCCCCAGUAGAUGAGAACCCUUCUUGGGUUAAGGAUAUUAUGAAUAGAUGUGUUUCCCAGCUAGAAUCUACAAACAAGCUCUCAAAACAAAAAAUAAAAAGGACUGGGGAUGUAGCAAAUAUGCCAUUUAUUUAAAAGGAGUCUUAUAUUU
rnacentral:snRNA from 1 species